rnacentral:rRNA from 1 species
UACGGAGGGUGCAAACGUUGCUCGGAAUCACUGGGCGUAAAGCGCACGUAGGCGGCUCGAAAAGUCGGAUGUGAAAGCCCUGGGCUCAACCUAGGAAGUGCAUUCGAAACUGCCGAGCUUGAGUACGGUAGAGGGUGGCGGAACUCCGGGUGUAGCGGUGAAAUGCGUAGAUAUCGGAAGGAACAUCAGUGGCGAAAGCGACUUCCUGGACCAAUACUGACGCUCAUGUGCGAAAGCGUGGGGAGCAAACAGG